AAAGUACUCCCUCCGUCCCAAAAUUCUUGUCUUAGAUUUGUCUAGAUACGGAUGUAUCAAGUCACAUUUUAGUAUUAGAUACAUCCGUAUCUAAUCAAAUCUAAGACAAGAAAUUUGGAACAGAGGGAGUAGUUG
rfam:Triticum aestivum genome assembly, contig: Triticum_aestivum_CS42_TGACv1_scaffold_146679_2BS